GGGUGACAACUUAAUUGUUUGAAGUGUAUUGUUACCAUUUACACAAAAAUGAAGAGAUGGUUUGAACAGUGGGCAAAAAGGGAUCUUCAGACAUCAAACAAGGUUUCUAAAUCGACCAAAACAAAAAUUCACAGACUAAGAUAACAUCAUCCAUUAGCUGUCAAAAACAUCUCAUCACUUCUCCUUUUUCUCCGCGGGGACAACCUUCUUCAUCCGGGCUCCCAGCUGGUGCUGGUUCAUCAACUCGACACGGAACUUCUUGCCGCCGUGAGUGAUGGGCAUCUAAUCGCCCUGGCCCCCUGGAUGGCUGUAGCAAGCUCCUCUGUUAGAAUUGAAUCACCAGGCUUGGAGCAAGAGAGGUGUAAACACGGAGAAAAACAAUACAAAGCUCACUAAUAAUAGGUUGAUGGUAUUUCUUAUACACAAACUGAAACUAAUGACUGCUAGAAUUCCACCAUUCAACCGAUGUUACAAGCACCUGAAGACAUUAUUAUUCCAAAUAACACCACCGUAACUGAAGCAACCAACAAACUAAACUCUAGAACAUCAAAGGACAAUCAGAUUAAUCCUUCUCUGAAGCUCGCAUGAUAGAAAUGCCAACUUCUAACCUAGUUCAAAGAUACUGUAUAUAAUAGAUUGGCAUCGUUAUGUCUAAUAUGCAAUAAAUUAUGCAACAAAUAGAAUCCAAUAAAUCCAGUAAAUCUAAUUUUCAUUCUUCUAUGUAUAUUAGUUUUUUAGAUUUAAGAGGAGAAAUAUUUCAUGAACAUUUAAAGUCAUCAUGCUUUGAAUUAGACGACACAAGCAUUAGAACUGCAUUUGCUCGAUCCUUGAGUGAGACCUUUCUACUCCCAAGAAAAGAAGAAGAGAAGAAAAGUGUAAUCUGGAUGUGGCAUCAAUAGCAUAGCUAGAAAGUAUAUAUAUAUGCAGUUGUUCAAGACUGACUAACCAUUUUGCAUUGAAGUUUGCAAAUAAAUCAUUUUCAUAUUUGAACAAGGGGACUUGUAAACCUCAGGAACAGACGUUUCUUUAAGAUUUAACAAAUAGCAGCAGAAACUCUGCAUGAAAGAAACAAUUCUGAUGCACUGAGAUAAACAACUCCAAUGUACUUGUUGAUAUGAAGGUGAUCGAGUAGAUAGACUGACACAGACAACAGUAAGCAUACCUCUUGUCAAUCUGCACUUCAGAGCCUAGUUACUUUUUGAGCCAAUAUAUGCAUCAACUCAGGAUCCUCCGCUGUAUAAACCUGGUAUCACGAAGAAAGGCAACAAUAAGCAUACCUCUUCUCAAUCUGCACUUCGGAGCCUAGAUUUUGUAUCAAUCUCAAUAUGAAAACUGAAGCAAUAUACAUUGGCAUACCAGGAAGAAAGGCAACAAUACCCAGCAACAAAUAGGCCAUACACCUGAGAGCUGUCAGCAUCCAUGUGACCUUGAAACUGCAUAAGGAAAUAUCAUAGCAAAAGUUUAAUAUUGUCUGAUAGGACACAACAGCCAUGUAUCUUUCUAAGAAAGUUGACAAUCAGCUUGUAAACAAAAUACCUUGCUAGUUGCAAAACAACCUUCGGUAUCAUCUUUGUAUCAUUAUGUAGCAAAGGUCCCUACUUUAUAUUAGCCUAACAAACCUGCCGAAGCUAUCUGCACAACUCCACAAAAAUCAGAAAGAAUUAAGAGAAUUAGUAUUAAAAGGAGAGCAGUAUGCCUACAAGGAUGAAAUAAUAGGAUGGAUUGACAUGAACUACACACGCAUUAGUACCUGCAGUUCAAUAUCCCAAUGCCCUUAAGAAUUUCUACUACUCCUGAUCUGAAAGUGUUCAACUUAACCAAAUAGAUUGUUACUUAUCUUUGGCUCUGAACAAUACUGACUUAUAAACAGUUAUAAGCAUCAAAUUUCAAAGAAUCACAGAUCAACAAGUUGCUGGCUGAUCUGUCGUACAUGUAUUUAUUUUUUCAACGGUAUGCUUGCCCUUGGGACAAAGCUUUGAAUUGGCUAGCAUAAAUAUGUAAUAGUCUAUGUGAAGCAAUAAACUGGGAAUUAGAAGAAAAAAAUCAACUGAAAAUUAUGUCUUAUGAUUUGAUAUAGCUUAAAAAGGAUCCACUUUAUGAGUUGAAACAAAGCACGUGAAUGACAUAGUCACAAAGAUACGUCCGCCAACCUUCUUCCUCCCAGUAGACAUGGAAAUUAGUAGUCACCCAUCUAGGAUUAAGUAAAUAAAAAGAAAGAUGGAAAAGAGAGAGCACCUUUGAUGAACACAGACAACCAAGCAGCUUCCCCUUGUUCUCGUCUUGGCCGGCACUACACCUCUUCCCGGUCGGCAACCUGGAUGAGCGACAACCUGGCCGGCACUACGCCGAACGAUACAGCUACCCGCAGCUCACGCUGCUCAGGCCAACCGCACAUAGACCACGAACGCUGCACCACAUCCUGGGCCGCUGUCCCAACAUGUCGUCCAACAGUCCCGACUGGGGCGCAUUGACGGAGCUGACAACCUUGCUGCUUCCGCACUUCAAGGUCCUCACCCAAGCCAUGCCGACAAGCAGCCCUACCUCUUGGAGCUGUCGUCGCAGUACUGCCCGAGGCCGCAGCCUCGACACUUAAUAGAAGAUCCCGGAGCCGCAGCCCCGACAUACACCGCCUUUGAAAACGAAAGAGCCCCACACGACAUCCAAAGGCUGGCCCUCCAAGGCAACGCCUCUGAAGAUGGUUACGACGUAAACGCCGCCGCCACCCACUCCAGAAAACUGGAGUUUAGGUUCUCACCCGGAGAACCCAAGCACAUGAAAGGAUAGGAAGAUGUCUAUGACUAUGCCUCUAAGAAGGUCACGGAGCUUUCGCCUGAGCCCCUGAUCUCCUAUCAGUGAGCUUGCUUGCAAAUCUGGUCACGCAACAAUACCCAGACCAUCAGAGCCAAGCACAUUGUGUAGGGCACCCCCCUGCCGUCAGCCGGCAUAGCCCUCACGCGAGGACUAGCUGCAGCAACUCAUGCGACAUAGAAACAACGCGGUUGCCAGGGUCAGAUCUGAGUGCAUCGCUCCAAAUCCACCAUCAGCCCGAGGCCGCUGCCCCAGCAUUCUCUGGCGCCGCAACCACCGGCUACCCCGCUGCAGAUCCACGAAACCAGGAGAACAACGUCAUCAAUCUACAGAGCAGCACAGUCACACCUCCCGCCGCGAAGAAACGCACAACGCCCAUAUGUCCUCCCUCGCGCAUGCUAGGCGCCAGAUCCACGCCCACCUCGCACCUCCGCCACGGACCAACGCACCCAGCCGGCCGGAGCACCUCUACGCCUUACUUCGCCAGCGCACAUGCCAGAUUGGCUCGCACCCUGGCCGAACCCGCGGUCACGCGCACCAGCGCGCCAUGUCGCCGCCAGCUCGCCCUCACCAAUAAAUAUAAAUGAAAAGUGAAAUUAUGUAGUCUUAAUUGCACAAUCAAAUCAUCCUCAAGCAAAUAAAGAGGUAGUUGUUCAUCUAAGGCUGCAUACCUAGUAGUUCGAAAUUGGAAGCACUUAGAAAUAAGCAUAACAUAUCAGAAACACAAUUUUCUUUUCUAUCAGCGAUCUCCCCACAUGAAAAGAAGAUAGUAUGCUCAAAAAUCAUUAUUCGUCACAAAGGAUGUAUUUAACUAAAAUGCAUAAGACCAAACAAUGCACAAAAAUGGUAAUAGUAGGCAUAAUUGUUAUCCGAGUAGUGCUAACCAGAAACUACGUACGUCCAUUGUGUCGAUCAUCCAUACGUUCGGAUAAAAUAUAAUUUGGUCGAACCAAGAAAUAAAAUGAAAAACAUUUUUUACUUAUGCUAACAGACUACCUUGAGUUUCCAUAUUCCUGCAAACUCGUGAAUAAUGUUUCCUUUUCUCUUCUCUUUGUAAGACUAAUUCGCAAAUUCCAUCUGGUACUAAUUAAAACAUAUAGAAAUACCAUGAGAAUACUCGUACAUGUCUAAAAUACCAAUUGCAAACUGACCAAAGGCCUAGUAGCACAAGUAUGUAAAUUGGUAUCAAGGAGAACUUAUGCAGCAAUUGGUGCAGACUAAUCCUAUAUAAUUAAAACAGUUAACUUCCCGUGUCCAGUACAGUCAAUAAAGUAUCACGUUCAAGACAAAUCUGAUAUAGUGUGAAUAAAUUAAUAAGUAAAUCAAUAUGGUGCAUACUCUAAAAGGUCAGAUCUUUGAUGUCGUAGAAGUUACUAAUCUUCUGCUCGUUUCAAAAAUCCCUACAGAAAAAAAGGAAUACAUUUCAAGCUCCAGCAUGAACCAGCAAUUUAUUAUGUGAAAUACGUUCUUAUCGGCAAUAGAUAUUUUCAGAUCAAAGAAUAGUAUCCAAUCUUAUAAGUAACUCUAUAUCAUGAAACUCCCACUCAUAGGUGUUAAUAUGAGACCUUCAUGAAAUAGAUCUAAACCGAGGGUAGUAUUUCAUAUCAGUUAUUUUACAAUAUGAACUUGAUACUAUUACUAUCAUCGACGGCAAAACUGACACAAUUUAUUUUUAUAAAAAAUAACCAUAAGGAAGGCCAUACAUCAGUGCCAGCAAAAAUAUGAUCAUAUACCCAGCACAAACUUAUAUGCCCAACAAAACCGCAACCCCAAUCAUACAAAAGAUCAGAUGGGCUGAUCCCUGAGAUCGAGAAGAUAUCCUAUUCUUCGCAGCUGCAAUUGUUUGCCAUCCAAACUGGUGGGCCUAAUUAUAGGCAUGUAAAUAGUCCUAACAUGUAUUUUUCAUAGCAGCAUCAGGUAUGACUGAACUUUCUUAAAAAUAGCUCGCAGCAUGCUAAGUUUACCAAACCAACAUACAAAUGAAAUAUUAGAAAAGUCUACAGGACAAUUUUUACCUUGAUGAUUAG
rnacentral:lncRNA from 1 species